GACGAACGCUGGCGGCGUGCUUAACACAUGCAAGUCGAACGGCAAGGCCCUGCUUUUGUGGGCUUCUCGAGUGGCGAACGGGUGCGUAUCACGUGAGUAACCUGCCCUUGACUUUGGGAUAACUUCACGAAACUGGGGCUACUACCGUAUAGGAUCUCCUGCUGCAUUGUGGGCGUUGGAUAUUUUCGGCUGUUGGGGAUGGACUCGCGGCUUAUCAGCUUGUUGGUUGGGUAGUGGCUUACCAAGGCUUUGACGGGUAGCCGGCCUGAGAGGGUGACCGGGCACAUUGGGACUGAGAGACGGCCCAGACGGGUACGGGAGGCAGCAGGGGGGAAUAUUGCACAAUGGGCGGAAGCCGGAUGAAGAAACGCCGCGUGCGGGAUGACGGCCUGUGGGGUGUAAACAGCUUUAGCCUGUGACGAAGCGUGAGUGACGGUAAUGGAUAAAGAAGCACCGGCUAACUACGUG
rnacentral:rRNA from 1 species